UACGUAGGCAGCGAGCGUUGUUCGGAGUUACUGGGCGUAAAGGGCGCGUAGGCGGCGUGGUAAGUCACUUGUGAAAUCUCUGAGCUUAACUCAGAACGGCCAAGUGAUACUGCUGUGCUAGAGUGCAGAAGGGGCAAUCGGAAUUCUUGGUGUAGCGGUGAAAUGCGUAGAUAUCAAGAGGAACACCUGAGGUGAAGACGGGUUGCUGGGCUGACACUGACGCUGAUGCGCGAAAGCCAGGGGAGCAAACGGG
rnacentral:rRNA from 1 species